rnacentral:lncRNA from 1 species
UUUUUCCCCAGCACUUGUGAGGCCUUGUAGGGGACAGUGGAUUAAAUAGCCUUCAGGGUCAAAACAGUUCCUUGACAUUUGGAUUUUAAACUCCUGGUAAUCAAAAUUGAUUGCAUAAUUUACUCCUAUUACAGGUGUGACACACUGUGAGAUUCAGGAUUAUAAUUCUUUGGACUUAAAAUGGUUGGAAACAAGCUGGGGGAUCUGGACUUUUUCUUCCCUCCAUGCCUUCUCUCUUCAAUCUGAAGACUCAGAAAUUAUCCCAAACCAUAGAAAAGUGGAGUAUUUGAGAAUGAAUAAACUUAUAAUCCAAUGAGUAGAUUUCUAAUUAUUAUCCAUAAAGAGAUGAAGAGCAGUGGACAGUGGAACAAGAAUUAACACAGGGAGAAAGGAAUCUCACCUUUAGAAUAUCUCUAGGAUAAUAUUUUUCAGACAACUGACCCCCUCCAAUCCUCUUUUGGGUAAUGAUAAAACUAAAUGUCUGAUCUGCAAAGAAAACUCUCACCAGAGACCUGCUGAUUCAAGAAUUCAGUUCCUGCCCAAUUGGAAUACUGCCAACAUUUUUCCAACCUAACAGGAAUGCGUCUGCAGUCUAAGUAAGAGCUUCUUCUCUGAAGGUAAAAAACGGGAAGUUCUGGUGUUGUUGUCAUUUCAGUUGCUCCAACAGCCAAGUUAUGAUCUUGGAAGAGUUUGCUGUCCAGUGACUUCCUGUUGGCAUUCAAGGUUGGCAUAGAAUGCUACCUGGCCCAUGGGUUACUCGCCAUCUAAAACCAAAAAUCAGGACAUAUUUAUAUCUUAUUGCUAUGUCCAAAGGUUGAUUUUUCUUCACUUGGUAAGACAUGAUUAUUACUUUCCUAUUAAAUAUGAGUGUUUGUAACUAUGAAUACUAGACUGGGGCAGACUAUUUGUUGUCCUUGGUACAUGCUUUCUUUUUUAAAAAUAUAAUAGAA